rnacentral:lncRNA from 1 species
UGAAUUCCAAUUUGGCAGAUGAGGGAAUAUAUCUCUCUGUCCUUUCCUUCCUCAAAGUUCGCUGGCCACUGCUGUUCAUAAUGAUGUUUCAAAGAUAUGUUUCUCAUUUCAUUGGAAUGCUCAUGAUAGACUGAUAGUCAUCUGCGUCAACAGCACUAAAGGAGCACGACAGAAGAUUAUCACCGAUAGUGGGAGGGAAGCUUGGUCACCAGCAAUAAUUUUAGUCACCUAUCCAAUUGCCAACAGUUCCAAGGACUGAAAUGCCACAGUACUCAAACUUCAGUCAUAAUUGCCUGCUUCGAUGAUUCCAUUCCUUGAUGUUGCUUUUGUUAUUUCCUUACUCAUAUCCGAGGUCAAUCGAUACAGCUAAUCAUUCUUCAUUCAACCAAACUGCAUAUGCUCUGUUUUCCGUUG